ACGGCUCACCAAUGUGCAGAUGCACACAUGGCGUAGUUUUUUUUUUAAGAUCCUCAAGCUUGUGGCCUACGCACGGUGGCUGACCUUGCUCGGCAGCGCGCUGACGCUGGUGCGUCACUGCCAGUGCCACUUUGCUCCACCGGUCCACCUCUAUCUCCUUGCUGUUUGAAUUUCUAAUUCUAUAACUUGUGAAGUGUGAUUUUAUCUUUAUUGAUUAUUGUAUAUCAAUUGAUUGUAUUCAAUGUGUGUUUCUUUCAAAUUUAUAGAAAAUGAGGAGAUUCUUGGUUUCUAGAAGUUCAGCGUCGGAACCACAAGGUGGUGCACAACCAACACAACCAAAUCCACCAUAAACUCAAUCUAGAGGGGGCGGCGAGAUCAAUAUGCACUACCCCAGAAUCGCUCAAAGGUGGCAUGACUGUCUUGUGACACUAGCUAAAAACACGUCACUAACAAAAUUAUCUUUAUGAUGUCUGUUGUAAAAACACGUCAUUAGCAAAAUAUGGUAAUAACACAGUGACGUAUUUUAUUUUACAUGUCUCUACUACGAUUAGUUUAGUGACAUAUAUUUAAA
rnacentral:lncRNA from 1 species